UACGGGGGGGGCAAGCGUUGUUCGGAAUUACUGGGCGUAAAGGGCGCGUAGGCGGCCUACUAAGUCGGACGUGAAAUCCCUCGGCUCAACCGAGGAACUGCGUCCGAUACUGGCAGGCUGGAAUCCGGGAGAGGGAUGUGGAAUUCCAGGUGUAGCGGUGAAAUGCGUAGAUAUCUGGAGGAAUACCGGUGGCGAAGGCGGCAUCCUGGACCGACAUUGACGCUGAGGAGCGAAAGCCAGGGGAGCAAACGGG
rnacentral:rRNA from 1 species